rnacentral:lncRNA from 1 species
AGGAUUGAGUCAUGGUUUGCUUUUUUUUUUUUUCCUUUCCUUUUUUUCUCCCCUUUACACAUCAGAUUUUGCUCAAAUAGGAGGUAACUAAAUAGCCAUUAGAAGAAGAAGUGAAGCCUUUCAUGCAGGAUGAUAGAUCUAACUUAUCAAUGUACUGUCACAGUACAUUAAUCGUUUUAUUUGAGUAGGUAAACAAAUUUGCACACUUUUCCCCAGUGAAUUCCCAACACCUUGACUUCCUCAUUUCAGUGCUAAUAACCUGUUUUGUGUGCAGUUAAUCCAUUCUGAAGCAGGUGAAAGGUCAGUAUUUUAGCAUUUUAAAAGAUGAGUUAUAUAAUGUCUGCUUCCAGCCAGUCUGCAACAUCUAGCCAUACCUUUCUUAUGCAAGCCAUUCAGUUAUCAGGACUGUGAAUUAACACUGUAUGAAUACAUUUCUGUACACCUUAUUGUUUGGCCAGAGGGCCACCAAGUGUACUUAUAUGUAAUCCUUAAAUUUUAAACUAGCUUGUGAUUUUUAAAUAUUUCUAAACUUUUCUUAAACCACUAAAAUUAAGCUCUUACUACUUAGUCAACUAUCCUCAGCUGUAUUCGUCUUCAAUUGUCAGUAUGGCACAGAUCACUGUAUUAAAAUGCUCUUUCGUCUUCAUAUUUACCUUCUGAGGUCAUUUUUUAACUUAAUGUGUUACUACAAAGAUUUGCAGAUCUUUAAUCAAGCACUAUGUUAAUACUGUAAUAUCAAAAUACUAUGUCGAAUUAUUUCAGAUGUUCAGAUUGAAUAGGGUAAAAGAAAGUCUUUAAAUGCUAUCGCAUCCUAGACCCUCUUCCCACCUACUAUGGCAUUGCAUAUUAGUCUGUUGAGACAUUCAUUGUUGCUUGACUGACAUUUUGGUCUGGGUUUUCUUUUAAUAUUUUAUUUUAAUUAAAAUUAGGAAAAAAUGUGUUCAACAAUUUUUUUUUUGUCCCAUCUUCUCCAAAUCAGUGGGAAAAGCUUACCUUUUGGUAUAUCUUAGUGUUUUCAUGGGCCCAGAACUGUGGUUUAAAUUUUUAUAUGUAUUCUCAUUCUCAUAUUCACUCAUACUCACUCUUUUUCUCUCUCUCCCUCUCUCUCCCUCUCUCCCCCCCCCUUCUCUUUUGUGGAGUAUAAAUUAAAAAAACUGGAUUUGGGACCUACAAUACUCCUCAGGUUGAGAUAUUCUUGAAGUUUUAAAAUAGCUUUAGUUUUUAAAGUAAACUGGAUUUGUGGACCUUAAAGUUACUGAGUUUAAACUACAAAUUGUAACAUCAUUACUGAACAUGUCCGCAUCAACCCUCUGAGAAUAACUUGGUCACUUUAUGAAGGGGCGUUUUUAAGUUGUUUAGCAGUGACAUUUAAUAUGGUCCAAUUGCUUUUCUUUUUAACAUGACAAACAAUUUUAAAAGAGACUAAGGAACAAACACUAUUGCGCCGAAUGCCAUAACACUGAGUUGUACAAAUUGUGAUUGAGGAGAUGAAAAAGUUUAUACUUUUUAAAAAAAAAAAAAACAAAAAACAAAACUUCAAAUGGAAUAAAUUAUUCAUGAAGCCUUCCUUGUGGUGUCUCAUUCUGUGGAAAGUACAAGCUCCUUACAGCUUCCCCAUGGUUAGCAGCAGGGCUCUUUCUGUGUCAUUUGCUUGGGGACGGUGGUUUUGAGGCAGGGUCUUGCUAUGGAGACCAGGUUGGUCUUGAACUCAGUGAUUUCCUUGCUUGUGCCUUCCAAGUUCUGGGAUUAAAGGACUGCAUGCACCACUAAUCUCAGCUCUGAAUAAUUUUUAAAAGAGAAUGCUGGUUCUCCACACCCAGUAUUGGUGAUGUGUGUGUGUUUACACACCCAAGCUCCUUUUUGUCUUACAAUUUGGUGUUAAUUAUUCAGUCAAAAUAGUUAUGUUGAAAUAAUAAUAGUGUUUUUCUUUGUGUCUUGGGUGUGUAUGUAUGAUCACCUAAUCAUGUUUGAAUCAUAAGGAAAAAGUUAAAUAUUAAAAUAUGAAUCAUGCAUUAAAAUAGCCGUGCAUUAGUCCCGUAGGCAGUGGUAUAAAAUGUUUUGUUCAGACUUAAGCAAAAGUUAUGAUCAUUUAAAAACUUUCUCCCAAGAGUUUCAAAAGCUUUCAUAAAUGAUGGUGUAUGGC